UACGUAGGGUGCAAGCGUUGUCCGGAUUUAUUGGGCGUAAAGAGCUCGUAGGCGGUCUGUCGCGUCGGAUGUGAAAACCCAGGGCUCAACCCUGGGCCUGCAUUCGAUACGGGCAGACUAGAGUACGGCAGGGGAGACUGGAAUUCCUGGUGUAGCGGUGAAAUGCGCAGAUAUCAGGAGGAACACCGGUGGCGAAGGCGGGUCUCUGGGCCAAUACUGACGCUGAGGAGCGAAAGCGUGGGGAGCGAACAGG
rnacentral:rRNA from 1 species